rnacentral:rRNA from 1 species
UCUGUUCAACGGCCGCGGUAUCCUAACCGUGCGAAGGUAGCGUAAUCACUUGUUCUUUAAAUGAGGACUAGUAUGAACGGCACCACGAGGGUUAAGCUGUCUCCCUUUUCUAAUCAGUGAAACUAAUCCCCCCGUGAAGAAGCGGGGAUAAAUCUAUAAGACGAGAAGACCCUAUGGAGCUUCAAACACACAACAAAUGCCCCGCCUCUUGUUAAUCUCCGGAAAACCAUUUACCCGGGCACUUUGACUUCAAGUUUUAGGUUGGGGUGACCGCGGAGUAUAAAAUAUCCUCCACAGCGAACGGGACCUAAUCCCUAAGCUCAGAGCUACAACCCUACGAAUCAAUAAAUUGACACCCAUUGACCCA